rnacentral:tRNA from 1 species
CGCGUCCGUAGCUCAGCUGGUCAGAGUACCGCCUUGACAUGGCGGGGGUCGGUGAUUCAAAUUCACUCGGACGCACCA